AUUGAACGCUGGCGGCAUGCCUAACACAUGCAAGUCGAACGGGGCAGCAAUGCCUAGUGGCGGACGGGUGAGGAAUACGUAGGAAUCUGCCCUUAAGUGGGGGAUAACCAGGGGAAACCCUGACUAAUACCGCAUGAUCUCUUCGGGGGAAAGAUUUAUCGCCAUUGGAGCGGCCCGCGUCUGAUUAGCUAGUUGGUGGGGUAAUGGCCUACCAAGGCGACGAUCAGUAGCUGGUCUGAGAGGAUGAUCAGCCACAUUGGGACUGAGACACGGCCCAAACUCCUACGGGAGGCAGCAGUGGGGAAUCUUGCGCAAUGGGCGAAAGCCUGACGCGGCCAUGCCGCGUGAAUGAUGAAGGUCUUAGGAUUGUAAAAUUCUUUCACCGGGGACGAUAAUGACGGUACCCGGAGAAGAAGCCCCGGCUAACUUCGUGCAGCCGCCGCGGUAAAAC
rnacentral:rRNA from 1 species